rnacentral:rRNA from 1 species
GACGAACGCUGGCGGCGUGCUUAACGCAUGCAAGUCGAACGGAAAGGCCCUGCUUUUGUGGGGUGCUCGAGUGGCGAACGGGUGAGUAACACGUGAGUAACCUGCCCUUGACUUUGGGAUAACUUCAGGAAACUGGGGCUAAUACCGGAUAGGAGCUCCUGCUGCAUGGUGGGGGUUGGAAAGUUUCGGCGGUUGGGGAUGGACUCGCGGCUUAUCAGCUUGUUGGUGGGGUAGUGGCUUACCAAGGCUUUGACGGGUAGCCGGCCUGAGAGGGUGACCGGCCACAUUGGGACUGAGGUACGGCCCAGACUCCUACGGGAGGCAGCAGUGGGGAAUAUUGCACAAUGGGCGGAAGCCUGAUGCAGCAACGCCGCGUGCGGGAUGACGGCCUUCGGGUUGUAAACCGCUUUCGCCUGUGACGAAGCGUGAGUGACGGUAAUGGGUAAAGAAGCACCGGCUAACUACGUG